UACGUAGGGGGCAAGCGUUAUCCGGAUUUACUGGGUGUAAAGGGAGCGUAGACGGCAGAGCAAGUCUGAAGUGAAAGCCCGCGGCCCAACUGCGGGACUGCUUUGGAAACUGCCCGGCUAGAGUGCUGGAGAGGUAAGCGGAAUUCCUAGUGUAGCGGUGAAAUGCGUAGAUAUUAGGAGGAACGCCAGUGGCGAAGGCGGCUUACUGGACAGUAACUGACGUUGAGGCUCGAAAGCGUGGGGAGCAAACAGG
rnacentral:rRNA from 1 species